UGGGUAAAGAAGGCUGGGGUCCCUGGCGAA
rnacentral:piRNA from 1 species